rnacentral:rRNA from 1 species
UACGUAGGGGGCAAGCGUUGUCCGGAAUCACUGGGCGUAAAGCGCGCGCAGGCGGUCAUCUACGUCUGGGGUGAAAGCCCGGAGCUCAACUCCGGGAUUGCCUUGGAUACGGGAUGACUUGAGGAUCGGAGAGGCAAGGGGAAUUCCACGUGUAGCGGUGAAAUGCGUAGAGAUGUGGAGGAACACCUGUGGCGAAGGCGCCUUGCUGGCCGAUUUCUGACGCUGAGGCGCGAAAGCGUGGGGAGCAAACAGGA